rnacentral:rRNA from 1 species
CCUACGGGGGGCUGCAGUAAGGAAUAUUGGUCAAUGGACGCAAGUCUGAACCAGCCAUGCCGCGUGGAGGAUGAAGGUCCUCUGGAUUGUAAACUUCUUUUCUCUGGGACGAAACCCCCGAUUUCUAUCGGGCCUGACGGUACCAGAGGAAUAAGCACCGGCUAACUCCGUGCCAGCAGCCGCGGUAAUACGGAGGGUGCAAGCGUUAUCCGGAUUCACUGGGUUUAAGGUGAGCAGGGAAGGCCGUGUAGAAAUCUCUGGGCUUAACCCGGAAACUGCCAUUGAUACUAUUUGUCUUGAAUGUUCUGGAGGUAAGCGGAAUAUGUCAUGUAGCGGUGAAAUGCUUAGAUAUGACAUAGAACACCCAUUGCGAAGGCAGCUUACUACGGAAUGAUUGACACUGAGGCUCGAAAGCGUGGGGAUCAAACAGGAUUAGAUACCCCGGUAGUC